CCUACGGGAGGCAGCAGUGAGGAAUAUUGCACAAUGGGGGAAACCCUGAUGCAGCGACGCCGCGUGAGUGAAGAAGUAGUUCGUUACGUAAAGCUCUAUCAGCAGGGAAGAAAAUGACGGUACCUGAGUAAGAAGCCCCGGCUAACUACGUGCAAGAAGCCGCGGUAAUACGUAGGGGGCAAGCGUUAUCCGGAUUUACUGGGUGUAAAGGGAGCGUAGACGGUGCGCCAAGUCUGGAGUGAAAUGCCGGAGCUUAACUGCGGAACUGCUGUGGAAACUGGCGAACUAGAGUGCGGGAGGGGUAUGCGGAAUGCGUAGUGUAGCGGUGAAAUGCGUAGAUAUUAGGAGGAACUCCGGUGGCGAAGGCGGCUUACUGGACCGUAACUGACGUUGAGGCUCGAAAGCGUGGGGAUCAAACAGGAUUAGAUACCCGUGUAGUC
rnacentral:rRNA from 1 species